GAUGAACGCUAGCGGCAGGCCUAAUACAUGCAAGUCGAACGGUGUCUUCGGACAUAGUGGCGCACGGGUGCGUAACACGUAUGCAACCUACCUUACAUUGGGGGAUAGCCUUUCGAAAGGGAGAUUAAUACCGCAUAAGACAGUAGCUGGGCAUCCAGCAGCUGUUAAAGAUUUAUCGAUGUAAGCUGGGCAUGCGUCCAAUUAGCUAGUUGGCGAGGUAACUGCUCACCAAGGCAAUGAUUGGUAGGGGAACUGAGAGGUCAAUCCCCCACACUGGCACUGAGAUACGGGCCAGACUCCUACGGGAGGCAGCAGUAGGGAAUAUUGGGCAAUGGACGCAAGUCUGACCCAGCCAUGCCGCGUGCAGGAUGAAGGCGUUAUGCGUUGUAAACUGCUUUUAUACAGGAAGAAACGACUCUUGCGAGAGGCAUUGACGGUACUGUAUGAAUAAGCACCGGCUAACUCCGUGCCAGCCGCCGCGGUAACAC
rnacentral:rRNA from 1 species